rnacentral:rRNA from 1 species
UACGGAGGGUGCAAGCGUUGUUCGGAAUUAUUGGGCGUAAAGCGCGUGUAGGCGGAUAUGUAGGUCAGAUGUGAAAUCCCUCGGCUUAACUGAGGAAGAGCAACUGAAACCACAUGUCUUGAGUACGAUAGAGGAGAGUGGAAUUCCCAGUGUAGAGGUGAAAUUCAUAGAUAUUGGGAAGAACACCGGUGGCGAAGGCGGCUCUCUGGAUCGAUACUGACGCUGAGACGCGAAAGCGUGGGUAGCAAACAGG